rnacentral:rRNA from 1 species
GCGGAGGCUACACAUCGCAGUUUAACGGUACAGAAGUAGCUUGCUACUUUGCUGACGAGCGGCGGACGGGUGAGUAAUGCUUGGGAACAUGCCUUGAGGUGGGGGACAACAGUUGGAAACGACUGCUAAUACCGCAUAAUGUCUACGGACCAAAGGGGGCUUCGGCUCUCGCCUUUAAUUGGCCCAAGUGGGAUUAGCUAGUUGGUGAGGUAAUGGCUCACCAAGGCGACGAUCCCUANCUGGUUUGAGAGGAUGAUCAGCCACACUGGGACUGAGACACGGCCCAGACUCCUACGGGAGGCAGCAGUGGGGAAUAUUGCACAAUGGGCGCAAGCCUGAUGCAGCCAUGCCGCGUGUGUGAAGAAGGCCUUCGGGUUGUAAAGCACUUUCAGUCAGGAGGAAAGGUUAACGGUUAAUACCCGUUAGCUGUGACGUUACUGACAGAAGAAGCACCGGCUAACUCCGUGCCAGCAGCCGCGGUAAUACGGAGGGUGCGAGCGUUAAUCGGAAUUACUGGGCGUAAAGCGUACGCAGGCGGUUUGUUAAGCGAGAUGUGAAAGCCCCGGGCUCAACCUGGGAACUGCAUUUCGAACUGGCAAACUAGAGUGUGAUAGAGGGUGGUAGAAUUUCAGGUGUAGCGGUGAAAUGCGU